rnacentral:lncRNA from 10 species
CUCACAGGUACCGGGGCAGCUACUGGAGGACUGUGCGGGCCUGCCUGGGCUGCCCCCUCCGCCGUGGGGCCCUGUUGCUGCUGUCCAUCUAUUUCUACUACUCCCUCCCAAAUGCGGUCGGCCCGCCCUUCACUUGGAUGCUUGCCCUCCUGGGCCUCUCGCAGGCACUGAACAUCCUCCUGGGCCUCAAGGUAUGACACAGGGGGAGGUAGAAGCUCUGGCCAAGUGGUGGCUGUGGCUGGUGUGACCUGCCCUGAGCUGAGUACUGGGAGUGGGACUGGUUUAAAGGCUGGAGUCCAUGGAGUAGAACCUAUAAUGUCCUGGAACAGUGGGUUUGGCAAUGGCAAAAGAGGGAUCAAGUCAGGAGCAGGUUGGGAAGCCUUGGAGGAGGAGGAGGAGUUCUCUGGGUGUCCUUGAUGGAGGCCCCCCAGCCACAUCCUGCUGUCCACAGGGCCUGGCCCCAGCUGAGAUCUCUGCAGUGUGUGAAAAAGGGAAUUUCAACGUGGCCCAUGGGCUGGCAUGGUCAUAUUACAUCGGAUAUCUGCGGCUGAUCCUGCCAGCCUGGAGUACAGUGGUGACAAGAUCUCAGCUCACUGCAACCUCUGCCUCCCAGGUUCAAGUGAUUCUCCUGCCUGAGCCUCUUGAAUAGCUAGGAUUACAGGCACGUGCCACCAUGCCUGGCUAAUUUUUGUAUUUUUAGUAGAGACAAUGUUUCACCAUGUUGCCCAGGCUAGUCUCAAACUCCUGACCUCAAAUGAUCCACCUGCCUCAGCCUCCCAAAGUGCUGGAUUACAGGCGUGAGCCACUGUGCCUGCCCUAAGCCUGUGUGUUUUAUUCUUCUGACUUGCAGGCUAAAGCGGCAGCUCUUCCAUAUCUCAUUGCUAUCUCCUAGGGCUUCCGCUAGGAGACUGAUCUGGGGCUAGAGGCCUCCCUCUGUGCACACGAGAAUGCUGGAAAUGUCACCUCUCAGGGCUCUGCCUGCCUCUCAGCCCUGAAAGCCAUGGUGGAAAGGGGUGGCGCUGACAUAGACAUCUGAGGAAAGAAAGCUCCAGGCCCGGAUUCGAACUUACAAUCAGCAUUACAACAACCUGCUACGGGGUGCAGUGAGCCAGCGGCUGUAUAUUCUCCUCCCAUUGGACUGUGGGGUGCCUGAUAACCUGAGUAUGGCUGACCCCAACAUUCGCUUCCUGGAUAAACUGCC